AAAAUGAACAUUCUAGAAUUAACUAAACAAUUUAACCAACUAGAACAUCAACUCUAAUUAAAUUCUAAACAAGAUUAAUUCUAAUUAACAUCCUUACUAAAACUCGAUACAAAUCGAGUCGGUAACGGAACCGCAUUGCACGGUGAACACUCACAGACUCGAAUCGGGGUCCGAUUCAAACUACAACAGACGACUCGAUCGGUGCGAAGAAAAAAAAGGAUCCUACCGGCGUUGGCGCGAGUUGAGGAUUCGUCGGAGAAGACGAUCGUCGUGGCAGCGACAUUAACGAAUGUAGUUCUCGUUCGUUCGUCCUCUUCUCAUCCGCGACGGAAUUCGAUUGCACACGACUUCUUGAUUUCUUUCGUGAUUUGCUCAGUCUUAUUCGAUUUGUGGAAUUGAUGUGGUUCAACCAGGGAUUGAAGAUGAUGAAUGACACCUUGAUGAGAACCGAGAUCGCUCUGAGAUAUUGAUUCCGGGAGAGUGUGAUUUUGGGAAGAGAAAAAUGGGAAGUUCAAGGAGAGGGUUCCAGAAGAAGAUUUCGAGAAGAAGAGAAAAGAAGAUUUCGGGAAGAGAUUGGAGAGAGCCAAAAAUCGCCGUGAAUCAAAGUAUUUAUAUCAUUUGCAAAUGGAUUCAGCUAGCUACCGUUCAUUUCCAAUUUCGAUUUGCUUUGGCUCUCAUUGCGUAUCCGGAUUGCAACAGACGUUCAUGCCGCCAUUAGGACGUUGCUUGGUGUACGUCGUCGUUUGGAAGCUCUGUGUCGGCUUAGCUUGGAACGUAGCCUUUACAGCUUUUGCUUUUCCAAAUUGCUCUUUUGUCUUAUCUAAUUAAUUAAUUGUUGGAUAAAUGGAUAUUGGAGAAAUUGAAUUAACUGAAUUGAUAAAUGGGUUUCAAGUGGCCUAAUGGACUUUGACCAAGAUGUAAAAAUCAAAAUGGAUUAAUAAUGGAUCAAAUAUGGAUUGUGGUUUUAGUUUA